rnacentral:rRNA from 1 species
UACAGAGGGGGCAAGCGUUAUUCGGAAUUAUUGGGCGUAAAGGGCGCGUAGGCGGCCAUUCAAGUGACGGGUGAAAGCCCUCGGCUUAACCGAGGAACUGCCUGUCAGACUGGAUGGCUUGAGACCGGGAGAGGUGAGUGGAAUUCCCGGUGUAGCGGUGAAAUGCGCAGAUAUCGGGAGGAACACCAGUAGCGAAGGCGGCUCGCUGGGCCAUUCCUGACGCUGAGACGCGAAAGCUAGGGGAGCGAACAGG